UAAUACUUAAAAAAAUCAAAAAAUAUGAUUUUCACUAAACUUUAUUUGCUAGAAGUUAAAAAGAAAUCAUUAAUUUUUGUUUGCUUUAGUGUAACACUUUGAUAAACAUAAGCUUCCAUAGAGUCAAUGCAAGCAAGCAUGUCAGAGUUAUUGUCUGCUUCAAAACAUAAUAUAAACCUGACAGUCAUUCAAUAGCUUCUUUAAGUGUAGGUCUUGGGAUGGCUUUGCAUUCUUCAUUGUCAUCAGAUUGUUCUUCUGUAUCUGGGUUCAAAACUUGCUUAAUUAUCUCAACAACCAAUAUUUCUUCCAUUCAUACAAUGUUCUUGCUAUAUCGAAGAAGUCCUGAAAAGUCAGAUUUUCAGGUACUUGUGAGACCCUGUGAUGUAGUUCUUGUAGCAAGGCUUCAUCAGUAUUAUAGAUCAUUAUCCAAGAUUUCUUCUUCUGCAGCC
rnacentral:lncRNA from 1 species